rnacentral:rRNA from 1 species
CAGGAUGGGCGAGGCCACCCGCCGAGUUUAAGCAUAUCAAUAAGCGGAGGGAAAAAAACCUCCCA